CACACUCGCGAUCCUAUUGCGUAAUCAAACCAACGAAUUUCGCCUCGAUGUAGCAGGCCUGCAUUUCACAGUCAGCUGCCCGCAUUCCGAGUUGCAGCGGGCCGUCUACUAGCAGUAGCGCGGACACAGACAGACGGCUUGUUCGUCUGCACGGCGAUGGAUUCGUCUGCCAUCUCUUUCGUGACUUCACGAAGUUCACGUCACGGAGGUCGCGCCUUGGCCGGCCGCGGAGACGGUUUCCCACAAUGCGUCUUCAUCGCGCAGCCAAAAGUGACAGAAAUGCCCCCAGUCCUGGGAAAUCCAAGGAGGACCAGCUGUCAAGUGGAGGAAGAGGCAGAUGAUGAUGCCAUCAGGUCUAGUGGCGAUAAGUGCAGAUUGGCAGCAAGCUCACCUUUAAUGAAGAAGAAGGAGAGAAAAGGCCCUGCCACGGUCAUUGGAGAGCCAGUACAAGUCAUCACUUGUGACAGUGGGCUUUGCUCAAGUUUCAGGACCCCAAGGUUUUGACUUUCCGACAGUGUCAUGGCCCUUCCAAUGCAACCUGUGUCUACAGACGAGUGUUAUGUGAAAUCGUCUCCUCGCUUCUUACAUUGACAGCGAAGGGCAAAGUGCCGAUUCUGCGAGCAAACACUU